AGCUUAAAACUCAAAGGACUUGGCGGUGCUUUAUAUCCCUCUAGAGGAGCCUGUUCUAUAAUCGAUAAACCCCGAUAAACCUCACCAUCUCUUGUUAAUUCAGCCUAUAUACCGCCAUCUUCAGCAAACCCUAAAAAGGAAGAAAAGUAAGCACAAGUGUCUUAACACAAAAAAGUUAGGUCAAGGUGUAGCCUAUGAGAUGGGAAGCAAUGGGCUACAUUUUCUACAACUAGAACAUCCACGAAAAUCCUUAUGAAAUUAAGUAUUCAAGGAGGAUUUAGUAGUAAAUUUGAGAAUAGAGAGCUCAAUUGAAUCGGGCCAUGAAGCACGCACACACCGCCC
rnacentral:rRNA from 1 species